AUCUUUCUAGUAUAACAUUAAUAUAAGUGACUUCCAAUCACCCGAUCUUGGUUAAAAUCCAAGGAAAGAUA
rnacentral:tRNA from 1 species